GUGGGGAAUAUUGGGCAAUGGGCGAAAGCCUGACCCAGCAACGCCGCGUGAAGGAAGAAGGCCCUCGGGUUGUAAACUUCUUUUAAGAGGGACGAAAGAAAUGACGGUACCUCUUGAAUAAGCCACGGCUAACUACGUGCCAGCAGCCGCGGUAAUACGUAGGUGGCGAGCGUUAUCCGGAUUUACUGGGUGUAAAGGGCGUGUAGGCGGGAGUGCAAGUCAGAUGUGAAAAUUAUGGGCUCAACCCAUAACCUGCAUUUGAAACUGUUCUUCUUGAGUGAUGGAGAGGCAGGCGGAAUUCCGUGUGUAGCGGUGAAAUGCGUAGAUAUACGGAGGAACACCAGUGGCGAAGGCGGCCUGCUGGACAUUAACUGACGCUGAGGCGCGAAAGCGUGGGGAGCAAACAGGAUUAGAUACCCGUGUAGUCC
rnacentral:rRNA from 1 species